ACAGAGUCUCACUCUGUCUCCCACACUAGAGUACAGGGGCACAAUCUCGGCUCACUGCAACUUCUGCCUCCUGGGUUCCAUUGAUUCUCCCGCCUCAGCCUCCCGGAUAGCUGGGAUUACAGGCGUGCGCCACCACACCUGGCCCUACAGUUUCAAGAUGAUGGGAUGACAGCAUUUCUACCUUACUCUCUGCCUGAACCAAAAUGAGGUGGCAAAGUCACAGGAACAGAAGUCCUGCUUUUGGUGAGACUACAAGACACCUGGAACCUGAAUCACAGUGUAGAAGAACGUCAGCAGACAGUGGACGCAAACAUGACCCCACAGAGCGGACAGUCUGGAGCAGCCAGUGGAUCCCUCCACAUGACCUGUGUGAAAGGAAAGGAAAAUCUCGAGACCAAACUCACCAUGCCAAAGGGAACUGAGUCAUGCAAUGCCUGCCUGCCUUCUGUUUCCAGACAGCUGUGAUCCCCAUGCCUGCGUUAUCGCAUGUCAAAUGUAGACCUACUGAGCGUGAGACAGAUGCAUGACUGGCUUUCCCCUAACUCUGUUCUUUUUUUUUUUUUUUUUUUGAGAUGGAGUCUCACUCUGUCAUCUAGGCUGGAGUGCAGUGGGGCGAUCUUGGCUCAUUGCAACCUCCGCCUCCUGGGUUCAAACGAGCCUCCUGCCUCAGCCUCCCGAGUAGCUGGGAUUACCGGCGCAUGCCACCAUGCCUGGCUAAUUUUUUUGGUAUUUUUAGUAGAGAUGGGGUUUCGGCAUAUUGGCCAGGCUGGUCUCAAACUCCUGGCCUCAAGUGAUGUGCCCAUCUCAGCCUCCCAAAGUGUUGGGAUUACAGGCAUGAGCCACCAUGCCCGGCCGGCUCCAUUCUUUACACAGGUGAAAUGUAGAUUCUCUGAGUGCUAAUCAGAGCCUCAUGAGAAUGUGGCCUCUCACCUGUUUGCCUACCCUCUUUGUUUCCCUUUUCUCCUUUCUCUUGAAACACUGAAGUCCUUAAAACCCUCUUUGGUAAAAGCACAGGACACAGAUUCUAUUGUGCCUUGAGUUUCUUUUUCCCGGGCACAUGCUCAACCUCAGCAAAAUAAAUCUCUCAGCCGAU
rnacentral:lncRNA from 1 species